rnacentral:lncRNA from 1 species
GAAAGGGGAGCCAAGGGGGAAAACCCUAACAUCCUAAAAUCAUUCAAAUUGAAAGGGGAAUCAAAGAUUUAUCGAAUGCAUGAGCCAGUAACUUUGAUUAUCUAAGUGAAUUUGAUAUCAAGUUAUGGAAGUUGGGCAAAGAAAGAAGAAGGAACAAGUCUAUCCAAGGCACAAGAAAUGCAAGACCUCGGUAAGUUCAUAUGAACUUUAUGUACUCUACUUGUAG